rnacentral:misc_RNA from 1 species
CAACCCUCAAGCCCCCGGGCUUGGUGUUGGGGACCGGCCGCCUCACCGCGCGCCGCCCCCGAAAUGCAGUGGCGACCUCGCCGCAGCCUCCCCUGCGUAGUAGCACAACCUCGCACCGGAGCGCGGAGACGGUCACGCCGUAAAACGCCCAACUUUCUUAG